rnacentral:lncRNA from 1 species
AUCAUCAGUGGGAUUCGGGCUUGACUUCUUCCAGCAACGAGGUGGCAGUUAAAGCUGUAAUAGGUUGGACUAUAUGAAACUGUUGAUAUUUGACCAUUUUUGACCCACCAAAAUGACAGUUUCAUGGGGUUCAAACUGCAAAUGCCCUUUGUGCCCACCUGAUCCAGGUAACCCUCCUAACAAUCCCUGGAUUAGGUCUGGAGACUGGACCCUCCUGCUCUGUACCUGCAGUGACCAUGUACGUGCAAAGCGUAUCCAGUGCCUCAGACGGCUGGUCCUCGGCCUCCCUGUCCACCAUCGCCUUCCUCCCUCUCAUUUCAGCCGUGACACGUCUGGAGGAAGAUGAGGCAGAAAAUGACAUCUGAGUUUCUCUUUCAGACCCUGGCGCCACCACCUCUGCUGUCCCUGGGUGUGUGGGUGAGCGCCUUCCACCCCUUCAGGAGCCCCGCUCUCAGGGGCUGAGCUGUGAUCAGCUGCCCACCGAGGCCCCCCGCUGCUUUGGAGGGAAGGGACCCCGCGGCGAGGGCGUGGCUCCGGCUCCCUGCUGGGCAGGUGUAUGGAGGAGGCUGACUCUCCAAGGGGCUGUAGGUUAAGAGGGCCAAUACUUUCAAACGUGUUCACUUUGCUGUUCCUUCGUCAGCUCAUGGUCGUGGAGCACCGCGGCCCAAGUGCCCACCCAGCUCACUGCUAGUUGGGGGGCGGGCACGGUGGCAGCACAGACCCCCUGCCCGCCCUGGCAAGGGGCAGAAGCCAGGUGUGGUGCGUCGGGAAGGCGGCUGGGGACGGGGUUGGGGGCACGUGGAGCGUCCAGUCAGAAUGCCCGGCUCUGGGCGUUUCCGUACCACCUGCCACUUAGAGACUUCUGGUCCCUGAGGCACGUCUCAAAGGGCCACUCUACCCAAAAUACCCUCUGUCGUGCUGUCCAGGGAAAGGUUUUAAAAUACCUUUUGCUCGUAAAUCGACUACACCUUAAUACAAAUAAAAACCUGUCUCUCAACACCAAUUUGUGAGAUCUUUAGGCAGCAUAUGGAGAAAAGGGACAGGUUGGCCCAUUUUAAUGCGCUCAAGAUGCAAAUAGCUAAAUUUACAAAUCAGAUAUGGUGUCAAUGUGAAAUACACAGGCCAUUUCAAAAAUUGUCUUUUUUGAUCGAUUGAGUAUAAUUUUACUUUUCCUGCAUGUAAACAUUCACGACAGAUGGGUACAGGUAUCUGACAGAAAUAACCGCCUUACUGCCCUCAGCUCCCUGCGUUCAGACCAGCUGGUCAGAACAGACCUACAGAAAGCUUUUCCAGUUUCCCAGAUGGAGUCACCACCAAGUUGCUCUCCCACUUACCCGUUUUUGGCGAUCAGUGUGCGAUUUCCUCCUCAGAGGUUACUUUUACAGUCAGUCUAAGGGCUGGGGGUCUGGACCCCAACUGCAGCUGCUUCUGCUGCCUGCGGCCUUUCGAUAAUCUACAGUGAGCCGGUGCAAGUCUGCUACGGUAAAGUCUGGACUUCACCCUUAACUUCUGUUCUAUUAAAUAUCUUCACCAUUUCUAAAAAAACCCCACAAAAACUGGAGGGCCUGUGGGUGGGAGGGCUAACAAAAGAAGAGGGCUCCAUUUUCAAGCUUGGAAGGUUAUGAUAACACUAUUUGAAAAGAAAGGGGUUACAUGACUUACUUUUCAAAUGUUCACAUUCUCCAGAUUUAUGACAACAUAGUAAUAAUGAUCAUACCGCAUGGGGUCAAAGAUAAGGUCCUUUUAUUAGCACUCCUGCCUCUCCUUGAAUCAUUUCAGGCACCCAUAUUGUUACAGUAUAACAUUUUAUUUUCCUUAAUAGAAUUACAAAACUAUUUAAAAAUCCAGGUAAAACAAUGUUUCUCAAAUUGCAGGUCCUGACCCAUGAGCGGGUAGGGAAAUUAAUAAAAUGAGUCAUGAUGAUAUUUUAUACAAGGGAAAAAAUAGGACGGAAAAACCCCAGAGUGUAUCAGACUUUGAAAAGGUCGGUUUUGUCUCUCAUGCAUACUCAUCUAUGUAUAUAAACCGCGCCUAAACACGUGCAUGUGCCAGAUCGGGAAGUUUAAAUGUAUUUCUUCCUGUGAAGGGCAGAUGAAAAGUCUGAGAAAUCCCAAGAGAGAGAGAAUAUUCACGAUAAAAAGUUAAGAAACAAGACCGUGCUAUUCUACCCGCUAAAUAUGAUUUUCCAUGUUAAGUGUCUUUAUUAAAGCUGGGUGCUCCUCCUUAGCAAAGUGACAGUUCUAAAAAACAAAAGAGGCGUUCAGGCAAAAUACAUUCAUAUACAUGUAUGUGUAUGUGCAUAUGCUUACCUAUAAAUACAGUGUUUAAGCCUUUAAAUAUAUUUAAAACCUUUAAAAUAUAAUUAGAACUUCCCACCCUAUGAAUAACCACUGCAGAGAACAUAAAAUCAAGGGUGCAGUUGUGCUGGUGUUUAGCGGUGUUCACUCCUUCAUAUGCCGAGCUAAACAGAAUCCAAAAAAAUGCGCAUGUAGUUGCUAUUUUUUAAGCUGAAAAUUCACAGCCCGUUUAACACCUACCCUCUCGUUAGCCUGGGACUAUAGUAGCUGGUCCGUGUGAUGCAGCUGGAAUCGGGAGAGAAACUCCCAUGCCGCAUUUCGCGGUUGAGAAGAGACCCCCUCCUCCCGCAUCUUGGUGAGUUUCCCCGACUGCACCCCGAUGGAAGGGGUCCUGCUGACCCUCACGAGCAAGGCUGCUCAGGGACCACCAGGCUUCCCGGACUCGGGCCUAAAAACAUUCCAGACAUUCCUCACCACAACUUCCUCAAAAGGCUGGCUUCCCAGGAGGGCAGGGGCACAGCGUGCGGGGUCACGGCCGCGGCAGCAGCGGCCUCUGUUCUCAGAGGCGCGCUUCGCUGAGCGGAGCGGGGGCCCAGCCCACGCGCCCUCAGAGGCGAGUGAGGACGUCGCGGUCCCCGCAAAGAGGAGGCUGUCCGUGCGGCCGACCUUCCCGCAGCUCGGAGAGAAGGUCGGUGUCUUGGUGUGUGGCGUGUUUUCUUUGGAAAGAGGCAAAUGGAGUCGGAUGAAGUUUCCUAUAGCAAAGCCUCGGCCCCUCAAAUCCGAGAGUCUCAACGUUGCUUUUAACGAACUCUUUUUAGUUGCCUUUCUUAUGCAAAUAAUGGCAGGAUGUGCCAUUGCCCUCUUUUUCCCUAUUAAUGUUUCCAAUUCUGCCAAUUUCCUCUGCCCGUCUCUCCUUUUGCUUCUCAAACACGUCAUUUAAAGCCCCGCUUCUCUUUCUGGACUAGACCGUAUUGACAGCCACCUCCCAGGGCUGGAGGUUUUCGUGAAGGAGCACAUGGAAAUCAGGAGCUUUGCAGGUAGAACUGGGUCCCGUCGCGCUCUUUCUGGCCCAUGGGCUAUUCGCUGCCAACCUCAGGGGUCUGGUUUGCCUGGGAUUCUCCUCAUGCUCUUCUUCCAGCUCAGCCCCACCCUGGUGUCCACGUUCCUGGGUAAAGAGCCAAACCCAGCGUCUUUCUCAGAACCGCAAAACCCCAGUGCAAGGUCUUAGGCACAGUUCACACUCCGUGACGUAGGAGGUCUUGGCCAAGGGUUACACACUGGACUGGAUGAUCUGACCAGUGGAGUCUGUCCUCAGGCCCUCUUCUUUCUCAGUGACCCAUGAGACACUGCAGAAGUCACAGGAGCUCUAUAUCUGGCAGGUGACUGACUGCCGAUGAAAUGCGACUCGGCGCCCAGGGGCUGGUCACGGAACAAGAUGGUUAAGAAGCUAAGGGAUCAUCUCACACCCCAAAAGUGCAGUGUGGAAGCUGGAAGGAAAGCUCUUAGCCUCAGCGAUGGGCAUUUUUCUCUCCCUCUGUGUAGCUGUGGGCUGGGGUUGGUGGCAAGUGUUGCUGAAAUGAGAAGAGGGGCUGUGCUGCACCUGCAGCAUGUAUAGGACUUAAUUUCCUUAGCCUUUGUUGUCUUACCUGUUGGUCACUUUUCUGGUUCGUUUAAUCAGAGACCUUUUGACUUUGAAAUCUGUGGCAGAAUUUUCUUUUUUUAAAAAUUGCCGUAUAGCUGUGGUACAAUAUUAUAUGUCACAGGUUUGUACAAACGGUAAUUCAUAGUUUUUAAAGGUUAUAUUCCAUUUAUAGUUAUUAUAAAACAUAAUAAUAUAUAUUAUAAAAUAUUAUAAACUAUUUCAAAUGCCAGCUCUGAAACAGAGACACCCACCUAGACAAGCCCUGUGAUGUCAUGCUCUAAAAAUACCUUGCGUGGAUUAUUGGGAGAGGAAAUGAAGCAGAGAUAGUAGGCUCACACUGACUUCUAAAAGAGUCACCAUGGAGUGUUUACCAAGAUCUCCAGAUGACUAAAAUUAGUUUAUUCUGCACAGCGUUAUCCCCGCUGACUCAAGAUGGUGACACGAGCAGUGUUAAGCUGUGAGCUCACCAGGAAACUCGUUCCCCAGAAUCUUCUCUGGUAGGAAAGACCCUAGCUCACAUCAGUGGAUGGAAGGUGAGGUAUAAAUAGGCACUCGCUCCACCAUCGCUCAGAAGCUAUGCUUUCCGCUUGCCUUCAGAUCUCUGUUUCUGGAAAACGUUAAAGCCUCCAAUCCGCCCCUGUGUGCGCGUGUGCCGCAUCUUCUAGGGAUGCAGUACAAUCCCUGGAAAAGAGAGCCUAAGUCGUCAGGUGAGGGCCACUUAACAACUCGCUGACCUCAGAACUGAGUUUUGUGUGCAAUUAGAUAUGGAUGCCAAUUGCAUUUUUUAAAUAAAUAUUUUAAUGAAAAACUGAGGUUUUGAUCCUAUAAAUGUCCUGUAAGCUGGCCUGUGUGUAAAUGGUCAGCCAGUAAGAAGUACGUUCAGACAGGUGCAGGCAGAGAAGGACGCGUAGACACGUGUGCUGUCAGGGAGGUUUCUCUGCCGGGAAAAAGGUUUUCCAUAAAUAGUUGGCCCUGGAGCCAUCAGGGGGGUCAGCACUGCUGACCUGCCCCGAAGUAAAACAUCCACGUAAAAUUUAGCGUCAGCCCUCUGUAUACGAGGGUUUAAACAACUGCAUAUUGCGUAGUUCGUAGUAUUUAUUAUUGCCAAAAAUCCACGUGUGAGCGGCCCUUCGCAGUUCAAACCCAUGUUGUUCAAAGGUCGAUGGUACUUAAGGGCCAGCUUGUCCCAAGAGGGCUUCGUCCGGCCGCGCCGCCCCCCCCCCCUCUGGUUUAUGCCCUCAAGCGGUCCGCCC